CCUACGGGUGGCAGCAGUGGGGAAUAUUGGACAAUGGGGGGAACCCUGAUCCAGCCAUGCCGCGUGUGUGAAGAAGGCCCUCGGGUUGUAAAGCACUUUCAGUGAGGAAGAACGCCUGGUGGUUAAUACCCAUCAGGAAAGACAUCACUCACAGAAGAAGCACCGGCUAACUCCGUGCCAGCAGCCGCGGUAAUACGGAGGGUGCGAGCGUUAAUCGGAAUUACUGGGCGUAAAGCGCGCGUAGGUGGCUUGAUAAGCCGGUUGUGAAGCCCCGGGCUCAACCUGGGAACGGCAUCCGGCGCUGUCAAGCGAGCUCGCGGGGGAGGAAGAGAGCAUUCCGGGGGGAGCGGGGACUGGCGCAAUGCCCGGGAGGAAUAGCAGUGCAGAAGGGGGUCUGACGGACUGACCGGCCCACGGGGGGGCGAAUACGUGGGUAGCACCAAGAGCAGACGACCCCGAGGGCA
rnacentral:rRNA from 1 species